GCCAUGGUAUGGCAAUGGUUAAGCACUUGGCUGCUAACCAAAAAGUGGGUGGUUCAAACCCACCCAGAGGCU
rnacentral:tRNA from 1 species